GGGGAAUUUUCCGCAAUGGGCGAAAGCCUGACGGAGCAACGCCGCGUGAGGGAGGAAGGCCUUAGGGUUGUAAACCUCUUUUCUCUGGGAAGAAGAACUGACGGUACCAGAGGAAUAAGCCUCGGCUAACUCCGUGCCAGCAGCCGCGGUAAGACGGAGGAGGCAAGCGUUAUCCGGAAUUAUUGGGCGUAAAGCGUCCGCAGGCGGCUUUUUAAGUCUGUUGUCAAAGCCCACAGCUCAACUGUGGAUCGGCAAUGGAAACUGGGGAGCUUGAGUGUGGUAGGGGUAGAGGGAAUUCCCGGUGUAGCGGUGGAAUGCGUANAUAUCGGGAAGAACACCAGUGGCGAAGGCGCUCUACUGGGCCACAACUGACGCUGAGGGACGAAANCUANGGGANCGAAAGGGAUUANAUACCCCUGUAGUC
rnacentral:rRNA from 1 species